GAGAGUAUAGCUCAGUGGCAGAGUGCAUGCUUAGCAUGCACGAGGGCCUAGGUUCAAUCCCUAUUACCUCCA
rnacentral:tRNA from 1 species